rnacentral:hammerhead_ribozyme from 1 species
AUUCAACUCAAGAGUCUCAAAUAGAACGAAAUGUGCGUCCUGGAU